AGACCUGCGGGCAGCGUUUGAUAUCAUCUGCGACAACGUGGGGAAGGACUGGAGGCGGCUGGCUCGGCAGCUUAAAGUGUCUGACGCCAAGAUCGACGCCAUCGAGGAGAAGUAUCCCCGAAACCUGACCGAGCAGGUGAGGGAGUCGCUGCGAGUCUGGAAGAACAGCAGGAGGGAGGACGCGGCCGUGUCCCACCUGGUGGAUGCGCUCAGGGCCUGCCGCCUGAACCUGGUGGCCGGCCUGGUGGAGGAAGAGCAGCAGGCCCGGGCCUCCCGGCGGGAGAGCGGGAGCAGCGACCCUGCGUCCCUCAUUUCCUGGGACGAGGACGUGCCCGGGUCGGGAGCUCCCUGAUGACCCGCUGCUCUUCCCAAGGCCCGAGGUUGCCCCCGUCCUGUCUGCACCAGCACCGCGAUGACCCAGCCGGGAGCCGGGAUGAGGGCCGGCGCCCGCCCGCAGAGCCAGGCAGGACCGUGGUCCCUGUGGGCCCCCUGCGAGGGAGCCACUGUCACCCCCAUUCACCCAGUCCCGGCGGGAGGAUGCCGUGGGACCUUGUCCAGCGUCUGUACAGAUGUGCGGUCUGACCACUGCCAGUGAGGAGGCCAGUGGCACCAGGGGGGCGGGAAGUGUUUGAUUCAGCCACUUGUUACUGUUUUGUAUCAGAGUCACUCUCUUUCCCAUAACAGAAUUGGCCAGGGAGCUGGACCCUGGGAUUUUAAGAAGUGCUCUUUCUUCCUCUUUCUAAGGUAAUCCUGUAAAAACAAGUGCCUUAAAGAGGAAGCCUCCGUAUUAUUGAGAAUUUUCCAUUCCCACGCACAUCCUGCUGCAGCUGAUCUCAGGCCCCGCCUGUGAUCCAGGCUGCAUGUCAUACCAGCUCCAGGGAUCAACAACCGGGCAGUGUUGACCUCAGCCAAGGGUGGUCUGCCAGGGGGCAGCUCUCACCAGCGCAGGGGCCUGCCCACCUCCAGGAGAUAUCAGAGCCAAGUGACUGUCCGUUGUUGUGCCUUCUAGUUGUGACCUUGGGAAAGCUGCUCGUGACCUCAUGCCAUGCAGUGUUGCUGAGAUCCUGGCAACACUCCCCUCCACGCUGUGACCCGGCCUUCAACAGUUUACACAGCCAGGCAUGCUAGGCACUGGGGCCAUGCGGUAGGCAAGACAGGAGUGGCCCUGCUCUGUUGACCUCAAAACCCUGGCCAGGAACAGAGUGUUAACCAGUUCAUCACAAGUUCAAGGUGCUGCCAAGAAGCUGAGCCAAGUUCAGUCCCCGAGCCGUGUGGACCGGCCUGGUGUCACUCACUGAAUAGCCCCUCCUCCCCGCAGCACCUGCCUCCUCAGGCCCCGGUCAGGGUCUCUGGGUGACACAUGAUCGCCCUCAGUGAGGGAGUGGCUCGGCUCAUGGGUCGCUUUAGGAGAGAGGCGAUGUGUGGAGAAUGUGUCCACGUUUCUUGAACAGAGAUUUCAGACGUGCUGAUCUCGCGGCUUAGGGUUUAUCUGCUGAAUGUGGGCUUUUCCUGAUGCUCACCCUGUGUCCUCCAGCCUGGGCCUCACACUGGGGGGAGCCUGUGUCUGCCUCACAGCAGGUGCUCCCCCAGAGGCUUUGACAACACGUGCUCACAGCCCUCGGGCCCGGCGCUGGGCCAGGCUCAGUUACACACACACCCCUCACACACACGCCAGAGGCGGACAUGAGAGGAGCUGUUUCCAUCUGCAGGAGUUCCUUCUUGGGGCGGUGACAGAAGUUCUCAAGAUGGGCGGGAGUGAUGGUGACGAGCUUGUGACGUACCUGGUGGCACCUAAAGGCGAAACGGUGAGUUUGUCUGGGGCGUGUUAUUUUACCUCAGUUUAAAGGCACCAACGCUCACAUUGCCGCUUUGCAUUAGUGGUUUCACAUUAACCAUUUAACUGCAUUAUUGAUCUAAGUGGUAUCUGUUUUGUGGGCUUCUCUCAUUCUAAUUUGAAUUUUGUGGGUGUAUGAUGAAUUAUCAGGCUAGAAGCACAGGCUUACACCCGGCUUGUAUUUGUGUCAAAGUAACAGUAUUUCAAAAAAGCCUUGCCCCUUGCUCCUUCCAGAGGGGUUUCCAGCUGCAAGGUCCCUGGGCCCUGCAGGGGGCGACCAGCCCUGUGCAGCUGCCCCCUGAACACCCCCCAUCCCCAGACGCCCAGGGAAGUGCGGCCUCCCCCAACACCCACCACCUGCGCUCGAGCCCCUCCUGCCCUGGUCGCACCUCCAAGCGCAGUCCCCAGCACUGCCCAGGGCACCUGUGAGCAUGGACUGUGCUCGCCCAGCGGGUGAGUCAACUGCGACAAUGCAGGGACCUCUGUCCAUCACACCCCAUGGCGACUGAGACCAGGAUCUGCCCUUGACACCAUCUAGUUCCAGCAAGGCCAGCCAGCGACCCCAGGGAGGCAGCCGAAGGGUCCCCUCCCUUGGCAGCAUUGCUGCCACAUGCACAAGGGCACACCUCCUUGCCCUGGGUGCUGUGGAACAGCCGGUCCCUUCACGUGUCCACCCACCCACCCGUGCCUGCCUUCAGCACGUUCUCAGCACAGGGCCCACCUCUGUGUCCAGUCUGAUGGGACCCUCCUUCUCCCCGUUGGCGCGAGCUUCCAGGAGAUGAGUGGUGGCAAGUGGGCAUUACUGGCACGUGACAAAUACCCCUGCACCUCAUUAUUGUCAUUCCUGAGCGAUGGCAUUGUUUAAAAGGAUGGCUUUGCACCAACCUGAGCACGUGCUCCUCGGUCCCCCGAGGUCUUGCUGGACCAGCCUGACCACUCAUUCGCCAGUCCCCCGAGGUCUUCCUGGGGAACUGGCCCCAGUGCUCCUCACCAAGGAGCAUGUGACCCAGGCCCGGCCACCAAGGCCUAUCGCAGGAAGGGGACUCCUCUGUCGCCUGGCCCCACCCAUGUCUGCAGCACAGACCCAACCCAAAGACACUGGAAAUACAGAGGUGUGGGUGUGUGGGCAGGGCUGGGAGAGAACUGAGGGCCGGGGUUAAUAAGGGAGGUUAGUGGAAAAGACACGAUGCCAUGGAGAGGUGUGGCGUUCCCAGCAGGCUGGCCUCGAGCCGAAGGCCCGGGUUCGAGUCCCAGCCCUGCUACUUAGCAGCUGUGACGUUGGGCGGCUUCACUUUUCUACAGGGUGGAGGAUUAUAGGUCCUACCUCAACGGGACGGGACACUGGGGGGUUCUGUGACGCGUUCUUGAAGCCCCGGGUAAGGACAAGGACACCGCUCUUGUUCCUGGGCUGUCUUGUAGUCACGACGACAUCGGUGCAGCAGAUGGCAGAGCCGAGAGACAAGUGUCACAAGUUGCUAAGUCAGCUUGCUCUGCCCCAGGCCCCUGUCACAGGCGCUAACACUUUCCUUAAAGUUCUUGAAGACACUUAGGUUGGAUUUUCUGAUCUUCAAUGCAGGGAACAGCUUCAUAGUGAUCGUAGGGGAAUUUAGAAAGUAAAGAUGAUGAUUCAAAUCAGAAAAAAAGUUCAAUAAAUGGGGUCGUGGCAACUGGGGAUGAUGGUUCCCUCAUGACAUCACUCCUUCCUCCAAAGUAAAUCCCAGGUGCACACGAGAUGGGGUUUUGUUUUUCUUUAACGUGAAGCAACCCUGGGUGAUUUAUCUUGAAGAGGCGGGAAAGGGCCACAAAAAGACGAAUCGAUUGACUACUUCAAAAGCUAAAACGUCUACGUGUCAAAAAAAGAAAUAGGAAUUCCCUGGAGUUCCCAUUGUGGCCCAGUGGGUUAAGAACCCAACUAGUAUCCGUAAGGAUACGGGUUCAAUGCCUGGCCUCGCUCAGUGGGUUAAGGAUCUGGCAUUGCCAUGAGGUGUGGUGAAGGUCGCAGAUGUGGCUGGGAUCUGGCGUGGCCAUGGCUGUGGCGUAGGCCAGCAGCUGUAGCUCCAGUUAGACCCCUAGCCUGGGAACCUCCAUGUGCCACAGGUG
ensembl:lncRNA